CCUACGGGCGGGAGCAGUAGCGAAUGUUCUACACCGGACGCAAGUCUGAUGGAGGAACGCCGCGGGAGGGAAGAAGGUCUUCGGAUCGUAAAGCUCUGUUGUUGGUGAAGAAGGAUAGAGGCAGUAACUGGUCUUUAUUUGACGGUAAUCAACCAGAAAGUCACGGCUAACUACGUGCCAGCAGCCGCGGUAAUACGUAGGUGGCAAGCGUUGUCUGGAUUUAUUGGGCGUAAAGCGAGCGCAGGCGGAAUGUUAAGUUUGAAGUGAAAGCCCUCGGGUCAACCGUGGAACGGCAUCGGAAACUGUCAUUCUUGAGGGCAGAAGGGGAGAGUGGAACUCCAUGGGGAGCGGGGGAAUGGGUAGAUAUAAGGAAGAACCCCAGGGGGGAAGGGGGUUUUUUGGUUCGCAAAGGACGUUGGGGCUGGAAAGCAUGGGAAGCGACCAGGAUUUGAUCCCUUGGUAUUCCCUCCCAUAAUCUUUGAGCCCUAGGUGUGGGGGCCUUUCCUCCCUCAGUGCGGCGAGCAAAACGCAUUAAGCGCCCCCGCCGUGGGAGAAAAACCA
rnacentral:rRNA from 1 species